GGUUUUCCAUUCUUACAUCACUCCCCUAAAACUUCAGUCCUAGGAGAGAGAAAAUGCGGGCUACUUCAUGCUGCCAUGGAGCAGGAGUGGCCCCAAGAGUAAAAUCCAGAGCCUGUCACCAAAGAAGGGGAUGUGCACACUGGCUGGCCAGGCUCCACGACGUCCGCUGCAGAUGCCAGAAGAUGGCUCCCUGCAGCACAGAGAACCAGAAGUUGACUUCAUUCUCAACUCCACGUUUUUCCCCACGUGGAAAGCUUCUAUCACAGCAGGAGAGCAGAAGUAAACGUGCCUGGGAGUCACACACUCUCUGGAAGAGUCCAGGAUAAAGGCUGAGAUGUCCAGGAGAGCCAAGAGUACAAGGAGGCAACGGCGGGGUGAGAGGAGGAGGCCCUGACCUCAGGGCACUCCACGUCUCCCUCCUCUUUCCCUCUUUCCCUCCCUCCACUCCGGACAGCCAGGAAGCAAGACGUGCUCUGGCAGACUCAGCAAACAGACGCUCCUCAGGGUUAAGGUCUAUGUUCUCCAGGACGGGAGCCAGAGGCCACGUGGAGCUCCCGAGCACGCAGAAUACGACUGGUGUGAACAGAGAUGUGCUCUCACUGUAACAUACAUACCAGCUUUCAAAGACUUAGUAUGAAAAAAAGAACAUGAAAUAUCUCAAUUUUUUUACACUGUGUAAAAGUAA